UGCUCGAUUUCCCAAAAAGUGUGGCAGCAUGUACAAAGCGUAUGAUGGAGAAGGUACAAGCCUGGAAGUCAACAAACAAGAAGUGAAUAUAGUGGAGCCAGAAGAGAACACAGAAUGUGGUGUAAACUUAUUGAAUCAAUCUGUUUGCAACCAGAGUUCUAUGACAGUAGAUAUAGUUGAGCAUUCUGGAGAAAAAGCUGUCAACAGCAAUGGUUCUUGCAGAACUGCCAGCAGCCUAAUUGGAUUAACAGAUGAAUCAAACUGCAAACAAACAGAAUCACCUCAAACAAAUACUACAGAAUGCCACAGUCCAAUGGUUAUGAUUGAGGAAGGGGAAGAAAAAUCAUGUUAUCAUGGUGCUAGCCAAGAGUUAAAUGACAUAGUUUCAUCCCAAUGCUCUGUCAUUUCAUCUCAAAUAUCUGGAGAUUUUUCAAAUGAUCAAAAUCCUGAGAAGAUAGGAUCAUGCUCAGAUAGCAACUCAGAAGUUGAAGAUCUGUCAAGCACAGCAAAGUACAACAGUUGUGGUUCCUUCUGUAAGCUUCUUGAAAUGGUAAGUUCAACCAAGUUUCAUGAAGUUAACAGUCAAAGAAGCAAAUCAAUUGAGAUAAUGAGAGAUGACAAUGCAAAAGAAAGCUGGAAAAAAUCAAAUAUCACUCAAAACCCUCUAGAAGAAUCCAUCAUCCCAUCCCAUGAAUACAAUUUGAAACUUACCCAUAACUCAGGAGCUCUUGAAGUUAACUGCUCUGACCCUUCCAAAACAGAAGCCUCUUCAAGUCUUUUCUUAAAGAAUAAAGAUGAAAAUGAGAU
rnacentral:lncRNA from 1 species